CAAUCAUGUGAUUUACUAUCUCGACAACUAAUUUGUAUUUAAAACGCUAGUCCAUUGUAUUCUAUGAGAAAUUUCCACAACCUUAGGAGAAAGAAGCGUGAAGACAGGUUUGUGCAUACCAAUAAUAAAUGUACAGUGCUGUUAUUCGUGAGUACAUUAAAGAGGUCAACAUUUACGUGCACCAUACCUUUUCGUGGCCUCCACCAGUCCUCCAUGUAGCCUUUAAGUGGGGAAGAAGAUGAAGAAGAUCCUUGUUAGCAACGCAUAUAACAAUAUGUCACAUGUCUAAAUUAAAUAAUCUUCGUUGAUGGAAACCACCGAUACAACUUUAAAGGGUUUCCGUACCAAGAAGAUACAUAACCAAAAUAAAUAA